GUCAGCAUGGUGUAGUGGUUCAAGCAUUGGACUAUGACUCUGCAGGCCAGGGUUCAAAUCCCUGUUUACCCA